rnacentral:tRNA from 1 species
GCCCUCGUAGCUAAGUUGGUAAAGCAGCUGGCUCUUAACCAGAAGACUCACAGGUUCGAAUCCUGUCGAGGGCA